GCAAACUCAAUAACGGCAAGCUUUGCCUUUGGGGACCGCUGUUCAUCCAAAGAACGGAGUAAAGCAGGUAAGAGAGAAUCAGUACUGUAAGUUUUACUAACAAUUUCCAGAGUUGUCGAGCAGGGUUGCCUAACUAACUCCUUUGGAUCAAUCAACCGAGAGAAAACAUGGGGCAAGAUCCUCUCCAUAUAGCUCUCAAAUGGCUUUCGGCAAGUUGGAAUUAUAUCAGCCAGUGUUGAAAGUGCUGCCUGUGCAACU
rnacentral:misc_RNA from 1 species